ensembl:lncRNA
AGGAGAGCUUCCUUCACUAUACAGGAACUCAAACUGCAGCACAGAGUCAGAGCACAGCUGCAUGCAGCCAUGUGUGGUGUGCAUAAGAUCUUUUUUGUGUGGCCUGUGAGAGACAGAAUAGCUUUACUGCAACAGGACCGAAAGCUGCACAGUGAGCCGAGGGUGAAAAAACAGGGUUCCGCAGCCGACUAAAAGCCAGAAUGCACCAAUCUUUUCUCAGAAACGCAAACCAGCGAGAGUGACAAGGAGGAACGCAGGCAGCGUCAGAUCUCUUCAGUCCCUGGGCUAAAUGUCAGUGAACCAGUGUAACGCCACCUCAAGUGUUUAGUUCAAAUCUAUCAAAGAAUAAUGAUAAACUGGACUGUGUGAUUGAACUACAUGAAAUAAAUACAUUGUCCUCCUAGUUACCUUCAGUACCAAACUACCAGGUACUAUACUGAAUUAGACUACUGCAUAUAUGUUCUUAAAGGUACAGGGUCUGCAUGGUUAUGAUACUUAUGAAGAGCCUAAUUAGAUG